rnacentral:tRNA from 1 species
GCGGACGUGGCGGAACUGGCAGACGCACUGGAUUUAGGUUCCAGCGCCUCACGGCGUGCGGGUUCGACUCCCGCCGUCCGCACCA